GCAGUCGUGGCCUAAUGGUUAGCGGGUCGGACUUGUAACCUGAUGGUCGUGGGUUUGAGUCUCAGGUCCAGCA